ensembl:lncRNA
GUGCUGAUCUCCCUCUAUCCUCCCUACAUCUCCUGGUGCCACCACUACAUCUGAAGUCUGCUUUCAUGUGGCAAGUGGCUCAGCAGCAUGACAUGAUGCAGUAUGGGAAGCUGGAGGAGUUUGUGACUGGUAACUAGAGAUGGUUCCGGAGCUGCUGACCUUAAGGCAGAGGGUCCAUCUCAUCCUGGGACUGAGAGCGAGGGUGAGAUGGGUGGAAGUGUUUAGGGUGGAGAAUGGUGUAGGGUCGGGGGUGAAAUUCAGACUUUUGUUCGCCCCUGGAUCUCAGACAUGGGAUCGCUCUCGUCACAAUUUCCUGAAAGCCUUGUAUUCACUCCUUAUCAGUUACAUAUUUGACUCCUCAGUUUGUCUCCUCAGUAUAUAAAAUGCAUACAUCUCCUGUUUCAGCUGGUUCUUGAAUUUUGUGGUGGUGUGUAGUCUAACCCAGCUGGGUACAAAACCAUCCAGCCCCACCUAGACAGAAUCCAUUCAUGCACAAUGCGUGAGGUGGUACUUAACCUGCAAUAUGUGUAACACACACCAGUCUGUUAAAGGCAAGUCUGCUUUACCUAGUUGCAGAUGUUUGCAAUUGUUUUGUGUGUGAUUGCAUAUUCAGAGCAAAGAUAAAGAAGUGGAGGCAUCAACAGAUAAAGAAGUGGAGUUGGUCCAAACACUGCUAGAAGAGGGAACACUUCAGGUGAGAUAAUAUCUAAUGUCUAGAUCAUGUCACAAAUCCUUGCUUCAAAGGACUAGAAUGACCUUGAGGGGAAUAUUGAGUAUGAUUUGACUACUACUUACGGUAUGCCUGGGUUUAAACUACAUAAUGACUCUAUCUCUGUGUUGGAGGUGUUCCCUGUGCAGUACAGCUCUAGGUAUGAUACAGCGCUGCAGAUACUGGUGUGGCAGUUCUUUGACAGACUGGAGGAGAUGCUGCCAGUGCUCAACUUUACACAGUACUGAUGCCACUCACAGGAGGGGGUCCCUGGUUCAGGCCCUGGUUGGAGCGAGGAGAGGUCCCUGGUUCAGGCCCUGGUUGGAGCGAGGAGAGGUCCCUGGUUCAGGCCCUGGUUGGGGCGAGAAGAGGGCCCUGGUUGGAGUGGGCCCUGGUUUGGGCGAGGAGAGGUCCCUGGUUCAGGAGCUGGUUGGGGCGAGGUGCGGGCCCUGGUUGGGGCGAGGAGCGGGCCCUGGUUGGGGCGAGGAGCGUGCCCUGGUUGGGGCGAGGAGCUGGACCUGGUUGGGGCGAGUAGCAGGCCCUGCUUGGGGUGAGGGGAAGGCCCUGGUUCUGGCCCUGGUUUGGACGAGUAGAGGUCCCUGGUUUGGGAGAGGAGAGGUCUCUGGUUGGGGUGAGGAGAGUUCCCUGGUUCGGGCCCUGGUUGGGGCGAGGACAGGGCCCUGGUUGGGGAGAGGAGCGGGCCCUGGUUGGGACGAGGACAGGGCCGUGGUGCGGGCCCUGGUUCUGGCCCUGGUUGGGGCGAUGGGAGGGCCCUGGUUGGGAAAGGGCCCUGGUGCGGGCCCUUGUUGGGGCGAGGGGAGGGCCCUGGUGUGGGACCAGGUUGGGGUGAGUGGAGAGAUAGAAGCUGUUCUACUUAUUAUUCUCUCCCUCUCAGACAGCAUCUAUUCUCAACCUGACCCCUACUGA